rnacentral:lncRNA from 1 species
UUGCCACAAGUCAAACCUUUAUAGCAAUGUUUUAAAAAUCGGACCGGAUCGGCCGAUCUGACCGGUCGAACCGUCGAUCGGUGACCUUUCUGGUUCGAUCCAGCCCAAUGAACCGUUUUAUGAUCAAACUGGUAUUGAACCGGUCAAAUCGCCGGUUGAACCGCCAAACUGGUCAAACCAUCCGGUUUUUUACGAACCGGCCAAGCUUUUUUUUUUUUUCCUAUUCUACAAAUAUUUGUUACUAUUAAGAGGCCCAUUAAUGAACCCAAUUCCUUGCCCAAUACUUUUAAAACUUCACUAAUUAUAAACCCAUAUUUGGUUCAAGCCACCAGGCCCAAUCCAAUAAAAUUAUAACUUAUAAAUCUUUCUCUUGGGCCAUGCCUCCAAGCCCAAUUUGCUGGCUUGCUUGGCUU